CCUUAUGGAUGAGCAAGGAAAGUGGUUUCUUAAGACGGAAUCUAUUCUUGGUAAAGAUGCUGUGAA
rnacentral:pre_miRNA from 1 species